AGAGUUUGAUUCCUGGCUCAGGAUGAACGCUGGCGGCGUGCUUAACACAUGCAAGUCGAACGGACUCAUAUUGAAACCUAGUGAUUUAUGAGUUAGUGGCGGACGGGUGAGUAACGCGUGGAAAACCUGCCGUAUACUGGGGGAUAACACUUAGAAAUAGGUGCUAAUACCGCAUAAGCGCACAGCUUCGCAUGAAGUGGUGUGAAAAACUCUGGUGGUAUACGAUGGUUCCGCGUCUGAUUAGCUUGUUGGCGGGGUAAUGGCUCACUAAGGCGACGAUCAGUAGCCGGCCUGAGAGGGUGAACGGCCACAUUGGGACUGAGACACGGCCCAAACUCCUACGGGAGGCAGCAGUGGGGAAUAUUGCACAAUGGGGGAAACCCUGAUGCAGCGACGCCGCGUGAGUGAAGAAGUAUCUCGGUAUGUAAAGCUCUAUCAGCAGGGAAGAAAUAGCGACCUUUGGGUCGCCAGACGGUACCUGAUUAAGAAGCCCCGGCUAACUACGUGCCAGCAGCCGCGGUAAUACGUAGGGGGCAAGCGUUAUCCGGAUUUACCGGGUGUAAAGGGAGCGUAGACGGCAGCACAAGUCUGAAGUGAAAUGCCGGGGCUUAACCCCGGAACUGCUUUGGAAACUGUGCAGCUAGAGUGCAGGAGAGGUAAGUGGAAUUCCUAGUGUAGCGGUGAAAUGCGUAGAUAUUAGGAGGAACACCAGUGGCGAAGGCGGCUUACUGGACUGUAACUGACGUUGAGGCUCGAAAGCGUGGGGAGCAAACAGGAUUAGAUACCCUGGUAGUCCACGCUGUAAACGA
rnacentral:rRNA from 1 species